CUGGGAGAAGUCUGGAAGAGAUUCAGAGAAUAGUCGAUCACUGUAGAGAAUCGGAUGAAAGUGAAGCUCAGAGAGCGUUUGGAGCAGUCCGGUAGAUGAAUGGAGGAGCCCAUUAUUGGAGAAAUUCGGAUGGUAUUAUGGAAGCUCGGACGGUCGAGGGAGUUCAGAAAGACGUCACACAAGGUCGGAAGCUGGAAAAGCCCUGAAAGGGUCGGCCUUUUACAAACUUCGACUGGGGGUAUUUUAUACUCAACACCAGUCCCCCUACUUUUGAGUUCGAGUUUCGAAUGAA
rnacentral:lncRNA from 1 species